rnacentral:rRNA from 1 species
UACGUAGGGGGCAAGCGUUGUCCGGAAUCAUUGGGCGUAAAGCGCGUGUAGGCGGCUUGGUAAGUCCGGUGUGAAACCUUGGGGCUCAACCCCAAGCCUGCAUCGGAAACUGCCUCGCUCGAGUCCGGGAGGGGAGAGCGGAAUUCCUAGUGUAGCGGUGAAAUGCGCAGAUAUUAGGAAGAACACCGGUGGCGAAGGCGGCUCUCUGGAACGGUACUGACGCUGAGACGCGAAAGCGUGGGGGAGCGAACAGG